UGACCCCAACUAGGAGUAGGAUCCAUAUCAGUAUCAGCCCAGCUUCCAGUGGGCCCCAUUGGUUUAGGUUUGUGCGCACUGGGUCCACCCCAAGUGCCAGGAUUUAAUUGAGCUUCGUUCCAGGUACUUGGUGUUUUUGGAUCAUCCCAUGAACCUGUAUCAUGUGGUCCUUCAGCCCAACUACCAUUUCGUCCACCAGCAGCACCAGGAUGUCCCCACAUUGGUCCACUAACAUCUGGUUUCAUUCCAGGUUGAGCUGGCAUUCUAUUCUGUGGCAUGCCCGGAGGACAUUGCAUUCCUGAUUUCCCCAUAAACUUGUGCCAUCGUCAUAGUUUGGGACAUUUCUUCUUUGUGUUGGUGGAGAAGGUUCUUCCCAACCUGAUGGUUUCCCUGGCAUAAUAUCCUUUGGUGGUGGUGCAGCCCACUGAUUUAUAUUGGAAGGAUUUAACAUCUUUGUUGGAGGGCCUGAAGGAUGUUGAUGUCCCAUUUGGUGAUGUGGAGGACCUGGUGGUUGACCCCACAUUGCAUCCGCAUUGGCACCGUUUAACCUUCCAGAAAUCCCGCGGGGAUCCCCACGCAUGUCUGCCAUCCUAGGAUCACGAGCCAUUGGAUCCAUCACACGUAUGUGUUCUCGAGGGUCCAAAGACAUUCUGUGGUCACGGGGAUCUCGCAUCUCUCUAGGAUCAACAGAACGGAGAUCUCUAGGAUCUCGAUGAUCGAUCCUUGGAUCACCCCAGUUGGAUCCUAUAAAAUACGUCAUUCGUAAUUUAUUUUAUAAUGAGAUCUUCAAUAACAUGAAAAGUUUUAGUUAGAAGGUUUU
rnacentral:misc_RNA from 1 species